rnacentral:rRNA from 1 species
UACGUGAGGGCGCGAGCGUUUGUCCGGAAUUAUUGGGGCGUAAAAGAGCUCGUAGGCGGCUUGUCACGACGGGUGGUGAAAAGACCCGGGGCGUUAACUCCCGGUUCUUGGCAUUCGAUACGGGCUAGCUAGAGUGUGGUAGGGGAGAUCGGAAUUCCUGGUGUAGCGGUGAAAAUGCGCAGAUAUCAGGAGGAACACCGGUGGCGAAGGCGGAUCUCUGGGCCAUUACUGACGCUGAGGAGCGAAAGCGUGGGGAGCGAACAGG